rnacentral:lncRNA from 1 species
UUUGGAAAUUAAUCUCCUAUUUGAAGGGUAAUUAUAACUUUACAGGAACUUUAUUCCCAUUUAUUACCUAAUUCAGGCCCUUAUUACAAUCACAAAGGAGGAAGCGGGGAUUUAUGACUUCAUGCAGUUUAAACCACCUGCCUGCCUAAGUGGCAAAGCUAGCUGCUCACAGGACAGCUCUGAAUCUGACUAAGCUUAUUCCAUCAAACUUCACUCCAGAAUUUUCAAAUCACCGAACCCCAAAGUUAUGGGAAUUUGUUGCCAAGGGAGAAAGACAGUGGAAUUUCUGCUUUCCUGAUCUGCAGAAACUAUAAAACUGACCCAAUAGAUAUGGAUAUCGCCUCAUCAGCAAAGCAGCACUCUCGCAUAUUCUUUCCUGAAGGAUUUAUAUAGUUUCAAUAUGCUCCUCAUUGAUUCCAGAUUAGACUGUAUUGCCUGCCCUCAUGAGAUGUGUUUCUCCUCCAAGAAUUCCUGAUAGUCCUCUGGUGUGUAUGUGUGUGCACUCAUGCAUUUGGCUUUCAGCUACAGCCACCAUAUGAAUAGAAAGAAUGGACAUACAAAGAAUCACAUUUGCCUUCCACUUCUGCAAUUUGCUGACCCUAGCAGACUACACGAACUAGAUGAUUGGAACUCCUCAAGGGUAACCUCUGUAAGACUGCAGACUUAAAGGUUGUCAGCAACUUGGCUUAUAUCUGCAGUGGCUUUGUUUCUCUCCAGUGCAUAAACCAAAGGUAAAAUUGGACUCACGAGCUAACCUUUACCACCAGGCAUUCUUUUACUUGAAGAUGAUAAUAGACUUUCCUUGUGGUGGAAGUUGUGCGCCAUGAGUGCCCUCUCUUGUGUCACCGUACGAGUGUGUAAAGUAAGAAGUGCAGGCAGGGAGUAGCAGGACUUGGCUCUUAGGACAACAGAAGACAGCUGCAUUGCAGGUCAUUAGCCUCAGAAUGUUCUUGGAUUACAUAUAAUAAAGUUAAUCUCUUACUGACAUUUAACCUGCCUCUUUGUGGCCAAAAUAAUAAAACCCACUCUACAAAGGGUUAGAGAAAGCAAUUGUUAAAACUAUAAAGAAACGUCUUCAGUAAAUGCAGUAUCUAACUUCCUGUAAAUCUCUUUCUGGAAAAGAUUCAAGGAAUACUAUGGAGAACAUACUAAAACAACAACA